GCAAGUCGAACGGUGUCUUCGGACAUAGUGGCGCACGGGUGCGUAACACGUAUGCAACCUACCUUACAUUGGGGGAUAGCCUUUCGAAAGGGAGAUUAAUACCGCAUAAGACAGUAACUUGGCAUCAAGUAGCUGUUAAAGAUUUAUCGAUGUAAGCUGGGCAUGCGUCCAAUUAGCUAGUUGGUGAGGUAAUGGCUCACCAAGGCUAUGAUUGGUAGGGGAACUGAGAGGUCAAUC
rnacentral:rRNA from 1 species